GACGAACGCUGGCGGCGUGCUUAACACAUGCAAGUCGAACGGAAAGGCCCUGCUUUUGUGGGGUGCUCGAGUGGCGAACGGGUGAGUAACACGUGAGUAACCUGCCCUUGACUUUGGGAUAACUUCAGGAAACUGGGGCUAAUACCGGAUAGGAGCUCCUGCUGCAUGGUGGGGGUUGGAAAGUUUCGGCGGUUGGGGAUGGACUCGCGGGUUAUCAGCUUGUUGGUGGGGUAGUGGCUUACCAAGGCUUUGACGGGUAGCCGGCCUGAGAGGGUGACCGGCGACCAUGGGACUGAGGUACGGACCAGACUGCUACGGGAGGCAGCGGUGGGGAGUCUUGCACAGUGGGCCGAAGCCUGAUGCGGAAGCGCCGCGUGCGGGAUGCCGGCUUUCGGGUUGUAAACCGCUUUCGCCUGUGACGAAGCGUGAGUGACGGUAAUGGGUAAAGAAGCACCGGCUAACUACGUG
rnacentral:rRNA from 1 species